rnacentral:rRNA from 1 species
UACGUAGGGUGCAAGCGUUAAUCGGAAUUACUGGGCGUAAAGCGUGCGCAGGCGGUGAUGUAAGACAGUUGUGAAAUCCCCGGGCUCAACCUGGGAACUGCAUCUGUGACUGCAUCGCUGGAGUACGGUAGAGGGGGAUGGAAUUCCGCGUGUAGCAGUGAAAUGCGUAGAUAUGCGGAGGAGCACCGAUAGCGAAGGCAAUCCACUGGACCUGUACUGACGCUCAUGCACGAAAGCGUGGGGAGCAAACAGG